rnacentral:lncRNA from 1 species
UUGGAUUUCCUUUCUGCUCCUAUAAAAGAUGUCCCAGGUGUGAAGUUUCAUCUUGCGGCCAUUGCUGCUACUGGUGCAUACUAAGGAUAAGCGACUUUGUGGGAUCAAUUAGGCGAUGAAGUGUAUAGGGCUAGGUGACUCGAUUGUUUUGAUCUCAAUAAGCUUCGUGAUGACUGUUCAGUAUAGCACAAUCAUCGAUUGUUU